CAUGGCGACGAUAGCGAGGGUGUUCCACCUCUUCCCUUUCCGAACAGAGAAGUUAAGCCCCUCUACGCCGAUGGUACUCGGAGGGCGACCUCCCGGGAGAGUAGGUAGUCGCCAGGA
rnacentral:rRNA from 1 species